rnacentral:rRNA from 1 species
GGUCUCAGUUCGGAUCGCAGUCUGCAACUCGACUGCGUGAAGGUGGAGUCGCUAGUAAUCGCGGAUCAGCAACGCCGCGGUGAAUGCGUUCCCGGGCCUUGUACACACCGCCCGUCAAGUCAUGAAAGUGGGCAGCACCCGAAGACGGUGGCCUAACCCUUGUGGGGGGAGCCGUCUAAGGUGAGGCUCGUGAUUGGGACUAAGUCGUAACAAGGUAAC